ACCCCCCCAAAAAAAAAAAGUGACAUAGGGAGGACAUUGCAGUAGGUGAUCACAUGGUGAAGCAACAUGUAGAAAUAUGAUGCUGGUCAACCAAGAGCAUUAUCACCAUCACCAGAAUUAUUCCAACCCCUUUCAUGGAGGGCUUGUUCUGUGCCAGGCCCAGUACCAAACACCUGAUGUGUAUCCUUCCAACAACCCCAAGAGGUAAGGAUAUCAUGGUUUGCUAAAGUGAAGCCAUCAUGGAGUUUUUACAGUCUAAUCCCCUUAAUUUUAGACAUAAAUUCACUGAAGCCCAAGGGAGUUUGCCUACUUCAUGAUUUUUCUGGGACAAACUUUGUCCCCUAGGAUACAUGAUUACUUAGAAAUUAUAUUUUUGCUAGGUAAAUUGGCCCAAGCCUAAAAUCCCAGCAACUAGGUAGGCUGAGGCAGGAGGAUGCAAGUUCAAAACCAGUCUGGGCAAUUUAGGGAGACUCUGUCUCAAAAACCAAACCAAACCAAACAAAAAGACCUGGGGAUAUAGCUCAGAGACAGAGUGAGUGCUCCUGGGUUCAAUCUCCAGUAACACACACAAACAAGAAAGACAGAAAUUGCAUCUUGCUUCUUUGAGGCCCAACAAAAAUACCAAUGGGAUCUCUUCAGGAUCCUUAUGAUCAGGGUCCACACCGCCCCCCAGACGAGUAUUUAUCUGACAUCUCACUAGUGAAGUAGAUGCCACCUCAGGCUUGGGCCUGGUCGACUAUAGAUAGCUAUAGGAUUAACAUCAGCAUAUUCCAGAAAAGUAAAGUCUGUAUUUUUCCUUAAAGAUUGUGAUCCAGGAAUUUGAAUAUAA
rnacentral:lncRNA from 1 species